AGUUUACAACUCCCAAACCCCUGUGAACAUACCACUUGUUGCCUCGGCGGAUCAGCCCGCUCCCGGUAAAACGGGACGGCCCGCCAGAGGACCCCUAAACUCUGUUUCUAUAUGUAACUUCUGAGUAAAACCAUAAAUAAAUCA
rnacentral:misc_RNA from 1 species